rnacentral:rRNA from 1 species
AUUGAACGCUGGCGGCAGGCCUAACACAUGCAAGUCGAGCGGAGCGACGGACGGGUGAGUAAUGCAUAGGAGUCUGACUGGUAGUGGGGGGUAGCGUACGGCAACGGGAGCUAAUACCACACACUAUCCGAUGAGCCUAGGUCGGAUUAGCUAGUGGGUGGGGUAAAGGCCUACCAAGGCGACAAUCCGUAACUGGUCUGAGAGGAUGAUCAGUCACACUGGAACUGAGACACGGUCCAGACUCCUACGGGAGGCAGCAGUGGGGAAUAUUGGACAAUUGGCGAAAGCCUGAUGCAGCCAUGCCGCGUGUAUGAAGAAGGUCUUCGGAUUGUAAAGUACUUUAAGUUGGGAGGCGUUACCAACAGAAUAAGCACCGGCUAACUCCGUGCCAGCAGCCGCGGUAAUAC